AAAAGGAUUUGCUUAUUGCACCACAUGUGUUUUUCUUUGAAACAAACUUGCUUUGGCGGUGGGCCCAGCCUGCCGCCAGAGGUCUAAACUUACAACCAAUUUUUUAUCAACUUGUCACACCAGAUUAUUACUUAAUAGUCAAAACUUUCAACAACGGAUCUCUUGGUUCUCGCAUCGAUGAAGAACGCAGCGAAAUGCGAUACGUAAUAUGAAUUGCAGAUAUUCGUGAAUCAUCGAAUCUUUGAACGCACAUUGCGCCCUCUGGUAUUCCGGAGGGCAUGCCUGUUUGAGCGUCGUUUCUCCCUCAAACCGCUGGGUUUGGUGUUGAGCAAUACGACUUGGGUUUGCUUGAAAGACGGUAGUGGUAAGGCGGGAUCGCUUUGACAAUGGCUUAGGUCUAACCAAAAACAUUGCUUGCGGCGGUAACGUCCACCACGUAUAUCUUCAAACUUUGACCUCAAAUCAGGUAGGACUACCCGCUGAACUUAAGCAUAUCAAUAGCCGGAGGAA
rnacentral:rRNA from 1 species